CACCACCCAAGCCCAGCGGACACACCAAGACGCAGAGACAAAGAAGGA
rnacentral:tRNA from 1 species